GACGAACGCUGGCGGCGUGCUUAACACAUGCAAGUCGAACGAGGUGGCGAACGGGUGAGUAACGCAUAAUCAACCUGCCCUUCAGAGGGGGACAACAGUAGAAAACGACUGCUAAUACCGCAUACUGAAGGAGGGGAUUGCGUCUGAUUAGCUAGUUGGAGGGGUAACGGCCCACCAAGGCGCUGAUCAGUAGCCGGCCUGGGAGGAUGAACGGCCACAUUGGGACUGGGACACGGCCCCGACUCCUACGGGAGGCAGCAGUGGGGGAUCUUCCGCAAUUGACGAAAGUCUGACGGAGCAACGCCGCGUGAGUGAUGACGGCUUUCGGGUUGUAAAGCUCUGUUAAUCGGGACGCGGUACCGGAAUAGAAAGCCACGGCUAACUACGUGCCAGCAGCCGCGGUAAUAC
rnacentral:rRNA from 1 species